AGGGGACAGAUCAGGGCAGAGGACAUCCAAGUCAUGCCAGGAACCUGGAUGGGGAGGUGUACUAUUCUAAGGAGAAAGUCCAUGGCUUUCAUCGGAUCCCAAAGCAUUCUCUCAACCCACAGAAACUAAAGAAAUGGAUCCAGUCCACGCUCACCUUUCUCAGUUGAGGAAACUGACACUAGAAGAAACAUGGCUUCAAGCCCAAGGUCCCAGAGAUAGUUACGGAAUACCUGAAUUCCAGCCAGAAGCAUCUCCUUAAGGUUGCAGAGUUGGUGGACCAGAAACCAGAUGACACACUCCUCACCCUUUGGGUGAUUCCGACACAUUGGUCCACGGAUACUGCUCAUCUUUCCACAGCAUAUCAAAAAAAGAAAACUAGUGUGUUCACUUUAUUAUUUUCGCUUAUUUAGCACUUCUCGCCCUCAUAAAUAACAUAAUAUUGAGGUGACUCAAUCUCAUCACUUUGGAGAACAUUCUAAUUCCAUCCCAUCAGGUAGCAUGCUUAUCAUUAUUCUUCUAAUUAAAGUAAAUACUAGGUCAGAGAUGAAAAUCAAUUGCCACGAUGGAAAAGGAAUCAAAAUCUGCCAGUAUCUGGUAACACUAGGAGCUAGAGCUUCCUUGACGUUAAGUAAUCUAAGGAUAAGCCCCUCCCCCCACCACCAUGAUAUUUUUCAAGACUCUAAGGCAGUUUUUAUGCCUUUACCAGAGAAAGAAAGGGUCAGAAUCUACCUAUCAAAGUAGCUAGGAGAGUUCCAAAAGUUCUCUUCCCUGGCAGUCAUUUACAGAUUUAGGAAAGAAACCCAGGUACUCACUUUUGCUUUCACUGUCAACAUUCCUUCUGGUCAAAAGCACAUCCAGUUAUUCAAAAAGAACAGAUUCCUGAAGUCAAGAGAUCUGAAUUCAAGAUCUAGCUCUGCCUUCUCUGGGCUGAGACACUUGACAUCUCUGGACCUCCAUAUCCAUCUGUAGAGUGGAAAAGAUAUGAAUAUUCCUUACUUUUCAGUAUUAUGGAAAUCAAAAGUGCUGAUGCACGAGAAAAAAUAAGUAAAUACACUGCAUUAUUAUUUGCCAAUAUGUCUUCCAGAGAGGAAAAGUAAUGUGUUUAAAAAAGACUAGCCUUUAGAGAACAAGUCAAGAUUGUUUUGUUGAUUUUUGGCUUGUGAAAUACUCUACUUUCCAAUUUUGAGAAUUGAUUACAGAGAAGAAAGGGAAGAUACCAUGUACCUGUCUGAACUGAAGAUCACCUUUAGAUCAGUUCACUCUCCAUUUGCCAAAUUCAGGCAAAUAGUAACUACCUCGGAAGUUUUAAAAUUUCACAAAAGUCCUACAAAAAUAGACUUAUGAGAAAUGGCAUUGUUUUUAACGAUGUGGUCAAUUUAUUACUUUCUCCACAAUUAUUAUGCUUUGGGAUUUAAAAAAGUCAGAGAAAACAGUGAAGAAAAUAUACAUAAGGCUGCAUAAAUAUGUGUAGGCUAUGGCUCAGGUUCCUCUGUGAUCUCCUCUCCCCUGGACUCAUUGUCACUUACGUGAAAGAGCCGAAACCCCUGGAUUUCCCCAUCUCAGCCACUAUGAUUCUGUGGCUGUUUGCAGAUCAGCUUUUCAUGGCUUAUUCACAUUUCUUCACACAGGGUAAUAAGGUCGUGAACGAGUAUUAUUUUUAAUUGAAGAGUUGGCUCUCAAAACAAUAUUGAAUUCAAUGGCUAUUGAGUAUUUGAAGAAGGACAAUGAUCUUCUCAAAGUUUCAGUCACAAUACUCGUUCCAUGGAACUAGAUUUUCCACUUGGAAGUAUGUCUCAGUUUGGGCAGGGGAUCCUAUUGUGCGAGGGUGUUUAUUUUACUGCAGAAAAAGACAUCUUUCACUUGGAAAGUGUUCACCUUUUUCCUGAAGUGAGCUGAAUUCGGUAACACAUGGUAAAAAUAAAGUAAGUUCAUCAUGUGGAGCUUCAGGUGUA